rnacentral:rRNA from 1 species
AUGGCAAUAUUCAAGAAGAACACAAGUGCCCAGUGUUUGUUGGCUCUUGUGCUCAUGGCCGCUGUCAUUUCGUCUUGUGAUGCGUUUGGCCAAGAAGGAGGAUGUUUCAUGCCUUUCCUGCAAUGCGAUCUGGACAUAUGCAGGCGUGACUGCAACGGUUUAUUUGCCUAUUGCACACCGAUAGGCGAAUUUCACCACCAAUGUUGUUGCGCUCCCAAGAAACUCAGUGCAUCUGUUGAUAAGAAUAGUCGUCCUUGA